AUUGAACGCUGGCGGCAGGCCUAACACCUGCCAGUCGAGCGAGCGGCGGACGGGUGAGUAAUGUAUGUGGAUCUGCCCGAUAGUGGGGGAUAACUACUGGAAACGGUGGCUAAUACCGCAUACUAUAGGAUGAACCCAUAUGGGAUUAGCUCGUAGGUGGGGUAAAGGUUCACCUAGACGACGAUCUCUAGCUGGUCUGAGCGGAUGAUCAGCGCGACUGGGACUGAGACACGGCACAGACGCCGACGGGAGGCAGCAGUGGGGAAAAUUGAACAAAGGGCGCAAGCCUGAUGCAGCCAUGCCGCGUGUAUGAAGAAGGCCUUAAGGUUGUAAAGUACUUUCAGCGGGGAGGCGUUACCCGCAGAAGAAGCAACGGCAAACUCCGUGCCAGCAGCCGCGGUAAUAC
rnacentral:rRNA from 1 species